UAGUUUACAGGGUUGUACUCCGUGAUGCUUCUGUUCUCUGUGGAGCUAUUAAUGAGCCAUGAAUUCUGUGUUCUGGCAUCGGAAUGGCACACCCUCCCCAGGGGUGACAGGGAAUGGCUAAUCUCAGCAUUGCCCAUCAUUUGGUCACAGCUGCCAUUUUCUGACUAGUGUGGAAGGGCUGCUUCUGAGGCCGAAAGGAAGAUACUACCAAGUGUCGAUUAAAUUUUUUUUUUUUCUGAAUUUUGUUUGUGUGACUCUAGCCAGGUCUCAAAGGUGACACAGCUCAUCUCACAGCACAAUUGAUUCUGCUGUUACUGCCAUAACCUAAUUGUUUUUCUUUUCAUUUUUUGAGAGUAAAAGCAUUUAACUCUGAACUUACAAGAGACGAACGAGUAAAGCACGCCGGUGAAGAAGUUGUGGAUAAGGGCCUGAGCUUUUGCCAGGAAGACUGCUUUAGGGCGCAAUGGGAAAACAACCUGAGCAUAUUGGAUCUUGGCCAGGCUAAAGGAAAGCAGCCCAUCACCUGGAGGAUUGCUCCCACUGCUUCCAGCUUCUUCUAAGAGUCUUGACAACCAAAAAGCAAAGAACACCAAGGGCUUUCCAAGCCUGUUGGGAUUUAUGGAUUCAUUUUCAACUUGGCAAGGAGAGCUGGACCUGAAUGCAUCUCAGCAGAGACACCAAAUAGCAACAGCCUCCUACCCUGCCUGUGCAAAAGCUGCCGCCUCCUUUCUGUUAGCAGCCCCUUCCCUUACCUCAGGAGCUGACAAAGCCAAAAAGAAAUCCUCCUGUCUUGGAAAGUGUAAGAGGCUCUGCAGCAGAAACUCCUGAGUCCCAGAUGCUUGUGCUGUGGUGAAAUAACGGAACAGUCUGUGCUUUCCGUGGGCUCCGGGCCAGCAGCAGAGUUCCCCUCAAGCAGGCAGUGACACAGCACUGCUGCUGAGCUGCCCUUCCAACAAAAGCUCCAUGAGAAAAAACCCUCUGGUCAGGAGAAGAGCCAAGAGAAAUCGAGUUCUCUUCAGCGCCAAAGUCUGAUUUAUUUUCUCAGACACUUUCUCAGCAGAAUGCACAUUCUAUGUAUUUUACUGAAAGAUUCCCCAGACAGACAGACAGAAAUGAAAGAAAAAUAAGUUAUUAAACAUCAAGAGAGCGUUUUGAACAACCACCAAAUUCCUGUGCAUCCUCAAAGGAAAAGGAGAAAAGCUUAUGCACAUGUCUCCAGCAAGCCAAAGGCCCUAUAGAAAGGCAGCGUGCCAAUUUUCCUAUAGAUUUUAAAUGCUUUCUCUAUUGAAAUAUGUAACGUACAUUCCAGACAUAAAAAUAAAUGUUGACAUGUAUGGUUA